rnacentral:tRNA from 1 species
GAGGGUAUAGCUCAAUGGUAGAGUGUAUGCUUAGCAUGCAUGAAGUCCUGGGUUCAAUCCCCAGUACCUCCA